AGUGAACGCUGGCGGUAGGCCUAACACAUGCAAGUCGAACGGCAGCACAGGAGAGCUUGCUCUCUGGGUGGCGAGUGGCGGACGGGUGAGGAAUGCAUCGGAAUCCACUUUUUCGUGGGGGAUAACGUAGGGAGACUUACGCUAAUACCGCAUACGACCUACGGGUGAAAGCAGGGGAUCUUCGGACCUUGCGCGAUUGAAUGAGCCGAUGUCGGAUUAGCUAGUUGGCGGGGUAAAGGCCCACCAAGGCGACGAUCCGUAGCUGGUCUGAGAUGAUGAUCAGCCACACUGGAACUGAGACACGGUCCAGACUCCUACGGGAGGCAGCAGUGGGGAAUAUUGGACAAUGGGCGCAAGCCUGAUCCAGCCAUACCGCGUGGGUGAAGAAGGCCUUCGGGUUGUAAAGCCCUUUUGUUGGGAAAGAAAUCCAGCUGGUUAAUACCCGGUUGGGAUGACGGUACCCAAAGAAUAAGCACCGGCUAACUUCGUGCCAGCCGCCGCAGUAA
rnacentral:rRNA from 1 species